UGAACGCUAGCUACAGGCUUAACACAUGCAAGUCGAGGGGCAGCAUGAGAUUAGCUGCUAAUCUUGAUGGCGACCGGCGCACGGGUGAGUAACGCGUAUCCAACCUUCCCCCUACUCAGGCAUAGCCCGGUGAAAACCGGAUUAACUCCUGAUAGUUUCACUAGAUGGCAUCUGACGGUGAAUAAAGCUUUGCGGUAAGGGAUGGGGAUGCGUCUGAUUAGCUUGUUGGCGGGGUAACGGCCCACCAAGGCGACGAUCAGUAGGGUUCUGAGAGGAAGGUCCCCCACAUUGGAACUGAGACACGGUCCAAACUCCUACGGGAGGCAGCAGUGAGGAAUAUUGGUCAAUGGGCGCGAGCCUGAACCAGCCAAGUAGCCGUGCAGGAAGACGGCCCUAUGGGUUGUAAACUGCUUUUGUGCGGGAAUAAAGUCAGGGACGUGUCCCUGUUUGCAUGUACCGCAAGAAUAAGGACCGGCUAAUUCCGUGCCAGCCGCCGC
rnacentral:rRNA from 1 species